CAAAGAGAAGUAUUUCUGCUAAACUGAUUUAUAAAAAGUUUUUUACAUGGUGUAAAUACAUUCUUAUUGUUGUAUAUCUAACAACAGGUUUAAAAAUUAGCAACAAAAACUUGAAAUCAACAAUCAAAACUACAGCUAGAAUUAUCAAAAUAUCUAAUUUUUCAUCACCAAUUAUCCCUGCAGGAGCAUUUACCAUUUACAAAAUGAUGAAAACCUGAAGCAUCUCUUACGUGUAUAUCUUUCUUGGUGACAACUGAAACAUAUUUGAAGAAUGUAUGGCAGUCGCCACAGAGAUGCACAUUCUUCAUAACACGAACAGGUUUCCCAGGUCUCGUCAUAAGAAGCCCAAAGGUUACCGUGUAUAUCUCUCUUGGUGACAACUGAAACAUAUUUGAAGAAUGUAUGGCAGUCGCCACAGAGAUGCACAUUCUUCAUCACACGAACGGGUUUUCCAGGUCUCGUCAUA
rnacentral:lncRNA from 1 species